UACGGAGGGGGCUAGCGUUGUUCGGAAUUACUGGGCGUAAAGCGCGCGUAGGCGGCUUUGUAAGUUAGAGGUGAAAGCCCAGGGCUUAACCCUGGAAUUGCCUUUAAGACUGCAUCGCUAGAAUCGUGGAGAGGUGAGUGGAAUUCCGAGUGUAGAGGUGAAAUUCGUAGAUAUUCGGAAGAACACCAGUGGCGAAGGCGACUCACUGGACACGUAUUGACGCUGAGGUGGCGAAAAGCGUGGGGAGCAAACAGGG
rnacentral:rRNA from 1 species